rnacentral:rRNA from 1 species
AGAGCGAACGCUGGCGGCAGGCUUAACACAUGCAAGUCGAGCGGGCGUAGGCAAGUACGUCAGCGGCAGACGGGUGAGUAACGCGUGGGAACGUACCUUUUGGUUCGGAACAACCCAGGGAAACUUGGGCUAAUACCGGAUAAGCCCUUACGGGGAAAGAUUUAUCGCCGAAAGAUCGGCCCGCGUCUGAUUAGCUAGUUGGUGAGGUAAUGGCUCACCAAGGCGACGAUCAGUAGCUGGUCUGAGAGGAUGAUCAGCCACAUUGGGACUGAGACACGGCCCAAACUCCUACGGGAGGCAGCAGUGGGGAAUAUGGACAAUGGCGCAAGCCUGAUCCAGCCAUGCCGCGUGAGUGAUGAAGGCCCUAGGGUUGUAAAGCUCUUUUGUGCGGGAAGAUAAUGACGGUACCGCAAGAAUAAGCCCCGGCUAACUUCGUGCCAGCAGCCGC